GAGUAUUGUAUUUGCUUUUAUAAUUGCGUUGAUUUUAAUUUUAUUUUUGCUUUUCAGGUACAUUUUGUAAUAGCUAGUUUGGAGGACCUUUGUUAUUGUGCUAUUGGAGCUGGAAUGCCGCGGUUUUGGAGUCAUCAAGUUGCAAUUAGAUAAGUAUUAUAUUUUAAAUAUAUAUUUCCCAGUAAUAGCUUGUGUUCCCUUGUAUCAUUAGUUGCAGUCUUGGAAGCUGGGGCUGCGUGCUUGACAUCAUCAGGUUGGAGCUGUCUAUUAGCAUCUGCUGCUUUGUCUGUCCGGUUAGUUAUUGUUAGCGGAGAGAUCGUUGAAGAUACGAUACUGAGGAGAAAUAUUCAUUUUAAGGACGAAAUUUGCAGCUUAUUAAUGUGGCGUCAGCUCCGCGCUGGUGAUCCUUGUUAAUGCAGUGGCAUCCGGAGGUGGAGACGGCGUUUUAGGGUUAUUAAUUUUUUGCGUUUGUAUUCGCGAAAAUUGACGAUUUCGUUUUAUUUUUGCGUUGCCCACCUCCUCUUGUCGGAUGCAUUAGAUGUGGAUCAGCAGUUGGCUGUGGUCAAGUAGGUUUUAGCGUCAGUUCUUGUAGGCGCUCGUCAGUCUGAGUUUUGAGAGAGAUUGGAGGCAGACAGAAGUGCGCUUUUCCAUCAGAUAAAGAUGAAGAUGUCGUUUUAAUAGAUAUAAGUAUUUGUAAGUUUAAUUGGAUGUAUCCAUGUCAAGAUUGUUGUCUCUUCCUUGAGUAAUUAAUGCCAAUAAAAUGUCGAUUUUCUUUUCUAAA